rnacentral:rRNA from 1 species
UUACCAGCUUGACAUAUAUGAAAGUACCCAAGGAACAGGUGCUGCAUGGCUGUCGUCAGCUCGUGCUGUGAAGUGUCGGGUUAAGUCCCUCAACGAGCGCAACCCUGUCCUACUUGCUAACGUACGAGACUGUAGGAGACUGCCGGUGUCAACCGGAGGAAGGUGGGGAUGACGUCAAGUCCUCAUGGCCUUUAUGCUGGGCUGCACACGUGCUACAAUGGUGUACAAACGGCACCGCAAGGGGAGCAAUCGCUAAACAACCCCAGUUCAGAUUGCGGGCUGAAAUUCGCCCGCAUGAAGUUGGAAUCGCUAGUAAUCGCGAUCAGCACGCGCGGUGAAUAUGUUCCUGAGCCUUGUACACACCGCCCGUCAAGUCAUGGGAGCUGGAGGCCGAA